UACGAAGGGGGCUAGCGUUGUUCGGAAUUACUGGGCGUAAAGCGUGCGCAGGCGGCUUCUCAAGUCAGGGGGUGAAAGCCCAGAGCUCAACUCUGGAAUUGCCUUUGAGACUGAGUGGCUUGAGUACGAGAGAGGUGAGUGGAAUUCCCAGUGUAGAGGUGAAAUUCGUAGAUAUUGGGAAGAACACCGGUGGCGAAGGCGGCUCACUGGUCCGGUACUGACGCUGAGGUGCGAAAGCGUGGGGGAGCAAACAGGG
rnacentral:rRNA from 1 species